CCAAAUUAGCUAGAAGAUAAACGUAACUGUCAUUUAUAUAUUUUAUGGGUUCUGUUUUUAUAUUUGUAGGUCACACGAUGAAACACCACAGACAUUACAUUACAGACUGCACCUUAAAUUUAAUGUCCCAUGAGGACAAUAAGACCUACAUGAUGAGAAGAAGGUGACCCCUUGGUGUUCCUACUAUUACUGACAUAAUACUAGAAGGAUACCAAUAUAAAAUUGAAAUGGACUAUGGACGUUCCUGCCCUGUGAGGUAUUUCAAGGAAGUCUCAGGAGAAGGAUGCUAUUUAUGAACAAACAGCUACAAACCAGCAGUAUGGCAGCAAUACUGAGGAUGUGAAAAGAAACCACAGUAAACAAAGAAGAAGCACUGGGUGAAGUUGCAGCCACUUUCUGGAUCAAAGUCACACUUCAGUCUCACAGCGGUGCUUUUGCCUCUGGCUGCAGUCCAGGAGAAAGGCCCAAGGGAGUGAGCUCCCUGGCGAGUCACGGCGUCUCUCCAAGCAGGCGUGACAUCUCCUACAAAAUCAGACUUGGCCUCACCCUGCCUGAAAGCAACUCUCUGCCCAAGCUCGGAGUAUCUGAGUUGACUUCUAAACUCAGUACCAAGCCCAUUUUUAAUUGGCAAGGAUAAGUCCUCCAGACACAUCUAAGGUUGUAAAAGCAGCAGUACCAAGUUAAACCACAGCUGGCCGAGUUCCCUCUCUGAUAAUGGCCAAUAAUGGAUCCAGAGGAGAGUAUAUGAACAAGGUAGGUAUAAAAGUGGCACGUUCCUAAUGAGCUUGUACAGCCUAUACAGCCUACAG
rnacentral:lncRNA from 1 species